GUGAUUUCCCGGACCCGCCCCCUUCGGCUUGGGAAAGCUAAAGCGUGGCAGGGGCCUGGCCGGGGAAGCGGAGGAGGCGGGUCUCCAUAGAAACCUCCACCUGUUUCCGGCCGGGCUGCGAGCGAUUAGGGGCUGCUGCGGGGGCCAAUCUCAGCCAGCUCGCCUCUUCCCAGCGGCCUCUGCGGGAGCGGUGGGUGUUGUACACAAUCAUCAUGGCGGCGGCCGGGGCCCCGGAUGGCAUGGAAGAACCUGGCAUGGACACGGAGGCCGAGACCGUGGCGACCGAGGCGCCCGCGCGGCCCCUCAACUGCGCGGAGGCUGAAGCCGCGAUGGGGAUGGCGGCCGAGGACUCCGGCGCCGCACGAGACAGCCUGCAGCCGGCCCCGGCCCAGCCCCCUGGGGACCCUGCGGCCCAGGCCUCGGUCAGCAACGGCGAAGACGCAGGCGGCGGCGCGGGCAAGGAGCUGGUGGACCUGAAGAUCAUCUGGAACAAGACCAAGCAUGACGUGAAGGUCCCCUUGGACAGCACAGGCUCCGAGCUGAAACAGAAGAUCCACUCGAUUACAGGUCUCCCGCCUGCCAUGCAGAAAGUCAUGUAUAAGGGACUCGUCCCCGAGGAUAAGACAUUGAGAGAAAUAAAAGUGACCAGUGGGGCCAAGAUCAUGGUGGUUGGCUCCACCAUCAAUGAUGUUUUAGCAGUAAACACACCCAAAGAUGCUGUGCAGCAGGAUGCAAAGGCCGAAGAGAACAAGAAGGAGCCUCUCUGCAGGCAGAAACAACACAGGAAAGUGUUGGAUAAAGGAAAACCCGAAGAUGUGAUGCCAUCUGUUAAGGGUGCCCAGGAGCGCCUGCCAACGGUACCCCUGUCUGGCAUGUACAAUAAGUCUGGAGGAAAAGUGAGACUCACCUUUAAGCUAGAACAAGACCAACUGUGGAUUGGCACUAAAGAUUCCUGGAGGGAACCGAACAUGCCUAAAUCACCUGUUUCUGGCCAGCACUGUAGGUAUUCAGUGUUCGAGAGCGGACUGAGAAAUUGCCCAUGGGCUCCAUAAAAAAUGUGGUCAGUGAACCUAUCGAAGGACAUGAAGACUACCACAUGAUGGCGUUUCAGUUGGGCCCCACAGAAGCCUCUUACUACUGGGUGUACUGGGUUCCAACUCAAUAUGUGGAUGCAAUCAAAGACACUGUGCUGGGGAAAUGGCAGUAUUUUUGAAAGCACUUUCACCUCUGGCCCAGGAGACUGACCCAAAGUGAAGGACAUUGCCGGGAGAGGCCUGCAGCAUCCCUGGAUUUCAGAGUUCUGGAACUUUGUUCACAAAAAAUCUAUAUUCAAUCUAAGGUGAUGUGGUGACUGAAGCCAGAGGUGAUGUACUUUCACCAUUAGCUUAAUUUUAACUUAAAAUUACCAGUUCCCUUUCUUGCAGUCAGCUUCAUACCAUUUUUAAAGUCCAUACGAUGGAAAUCAAUAAAUCUGAAUUCCGAACAUGUUGUGUGGAAUACUCUUAAGUGUGUUUGAGAGUAGAUCUGCCAAUUAUGUUGACAAGGGAAUGAUCAAAAGCUUUUUUUUUUUUUUUUCUUUUUAGCAGUUUCAAUUGAAAUAUUUUCGUACAUCUUUGGUUGCAAACAUUUGGACUGCCUUGUGAUUAGUUGGGGUUUUUUUUCCCUUUUUUGUAUAAAAUUGUAUGCAAAAUGUGGGGGGGUUAGUAAGCCAUAUAUUUCUGUCCAUUGAUUCAGAUUUAAUUCUUUCCCUUUUUAAUUCUCUUGCUUCCUCAAUUUGAGUUUUUGUUUUAAGAACCCAAAGAUAUCAGUUCCUCUUUUAGUACCUCAUCGAUGCUUCCUCUCCUGGGCUCCCUCCCGCCGUGCUGCUGCUGCCUGUGAACGCACGGUGGGAGAGGAAGAGCUGCUCGGUCUUGGGCAGGGAGCUCUCACACUUGCUGUGGUGUUCGUUGAGCAGCAGAGUAUCUCCCAGUGACUCCUGUCUAAACGUCUUGCCCUUUGGGCCUCAAUCUCCAAGGAGUUCCAUUGCUGGUUGGAUGAUUGUCUGCACCCCUCACUGAGCUUGGCCUAGAGGCCCAGCCCGGCAUGGUUGUGCCUGGGCUGUGCCUCUCAAAAACCCCAGCUUCCAGGCAGAAGAGGCAGACAGAGGCCUCUUCUAGGAGGAGCCAGGUAGGAGAUAGACUAUACAGCCAUACAGCUGCAGAUCCAGAUAACCUUCUUUAUUUGGAAGUUUUCAAGAAAUUCUUAAGCAGUCCAAGGAUGAUUUCAAUUACGCUUCUCCAUUGGGUCCUUCUGCUCAUCCAUUCAGUUCAAGUGUCCUUUAUCCCAGGUUCAGAGACGCUGCCUUUCACGAGAAGAAGACAUCUGACCCCAGCAGGUUGGCCGUUGUUAUUGAACAACGAAUGGGAUAAAUUGCUUUCAUGAUUAGCUCACCCUCUUCUGGUUUUAGCCCUUCUGUUCUUUGUACAUGUGAACUUCUGUCAUCUCCUUCUGGCUUGGUUGCCUCUGACAGGAGGGAAAGUCUCUUGGUAAAUGAUCUCCUUUGUGCUGUUUGCUGUUUCUCUGCUGCCGUCUUUGCAGUUCUCCUCUCACUGGUUGCAGGCUCUCAUAGUAAGGUUUGGCGAGAAAUGUUCCAAAUGUCACAUUUUGAAUUCUAGGCUGUCACCCCUCAUUCUGUGAAACGUAUUAGCAUGUGUUCGCCCAAGAUGACUAUUCCUUGUGAGCCAGUUGAUGAUCUUCUACACCCUUCCCUUCUAAGCCGUAGUUCAGGAAUCCAGCCCACAUAGCCAGACUCUUCCUUUCUAUGGUGUAGUCAAUGCCAAGUGAUGCAUCUAGGCAGGAAAAUCUACUCUCUGCUUUUUUGGGGGCAAUUAGUACAUUUGUGAAGUGCAGCAUCCAAGAAACUGCCUGUUUUUCAUCCCUUGAAAAAGGAGCGACCAUUGCAGCUUUUCUGUCCUUGUCGGCCUGCAGUUCCUGGGGAAAAGAGUGUGUCUGAGCUACUUGUCCAAGCCUCUGUCUGCAGGUGAUGGGCUUCGGGGGAAAUGAGAUGCAUUAAGUAGAACAUCAUCUCGGGUCAGACACUGCCCCUUUUGUUUGCCAAUGCCUCAGUCCUAGAGACUUGCCCUGACAGUGCCACAUGCCUCCUUUUGAUCUCUCAGAGCAGGCGGCUCCAUCCCCAGGCUGGCCUGGCUACUCUCCGAGGCCCCUCCACCUGCUCCCCUUUAUUGCCCCGUUCUUGUGGCUCACUGGGCCACUUGGCCUCCCUUCUUGCCAGUGACAACGAGCGUUCCAUCAUCUCCCCGCUCCCCAGGGGCCAACUGCUUCUCACUCAGGCUGGUGUCAUUUCAAGAGGACCAAAGCCUGUGUGAGCCUUUUUAUUUUCAGUAAAAUGGUGCUUUUUUCCUUACUUCGAGAUACUAUAUAUAAAUAAUAAUGUAAAUGACACCUUUUCGUACGGAGCUGUUUGAGUAUUGCUUUACAGAGCUCACUAAAUCAGCUUCAACAAUCUUGAGCUCUGUGGCUUCCCCCCCUGUCCGCAUGGAAGACCUUGCUGGAAGCUCUCGGACAGCAGACAUACCACCAGAAGCCACUGGGAGAAGUGUUUGCGAUCCGUGUCUGGGCCACAGUAGUUUUCGCUGUUUACUCAGUUCUGUGAGCAGUCUCUUCAUAUAUUUCUUACAGUCCAGAGUGUACUGACUAAAUCUGUGUAAGCAAAUUGAAAUACUCUUUCUCUUAGGUAGCGUCACAGUGUUUUUUUUUCCUCAGGAUAAUUUCUAUACAGUUUCCUCACUGUCAGAGAGGACCGGAUCUUUCCCUCACUGUGGCAGGGGGCAUGCAGGUGGAUAAAGGAAGAGCUGGUUUCCGGAGAGUGACUGUAACAGUGCUGAGUCAAAGCUAGAGAUGGGGGUGGUGGCUGUCUCUUAAACGUUGGACACCUCUCGGAGCCUCCUGAGGGGCUUCUUUCUCUUCUAGAAUCUGUCCCGUGAUCCUCCCGCAGGUUCUAGCUCACAGACGUCAUCAUGCCCUUCUUUCUUUCCCUGAGGCGCCUUGGUAGAAGAACGUGACCCUGUGAGCCAGGUCUUCAUCAGCUCUGCUUCAGAUCACAGAACGUAGACAGACUCACGAGUUGCUGGAACUCUUUGGUAUUAGGUGUUUGAAUCUAUAAUGGGCCUUUUGCAAGUAGCGUUAGCUCUUUUUAAUUGAAGUUGAACUGAGCUAAGGAUGCACUUUCUUGUGGACAUAGAAGGGGCCCGCGUGAGGCCCUGAGUAGGCUCCUUAGUUGCUGCUUUACCUGAUGAGGGCCAAAGAGAUUACCUCUGCCUCGUUGCCAUGUCUCAGAAAAGUUGCCAUAUUUCACCCAGAAGGGGCUCGUUUUCCUCUUACUCUUACUUUAACCAUGUGCCUGGAGGAGCCUUUCUGGGCUCUUGCACUUCCCCAGCCUUUCUUUGCCAGGGGCAGAGAAGGGAAAAGGGGUAGAUUGAGUGUGCCAAGGGCCGUGCAAGGGCAGGCUUGCUUUCCACCCAUCUGCUGAGGGAGCCCUUUCCUCUCGCUCCUUGCCUCUGUUCACACCUGUUGUCUUGGAAAAGGAUGGUCCCUUUGUCUUAAGGCUUUGUGAUAAAGUCAUCUCCAGUUAGGAUCGGCACCUGUUUCCUUCGUAAUAGUGCCUGGCGGCCUUUCUGAAGUUACAGGUGGUCGGGAACCCUCUCAGAUGCAGAACAUCUGGUAGAUUGACCUGCCAGGCUGGGUGGUUCUACUGCUUUCUCAAUUUCUAAGAACCUUUUUUUUCCUUAAAGAGUUCUGCAGAAUUAUUUGACAAUAUAUGUGAGUACCAUGUUUCCUUGUGGUGUACGCUCUGUUCUGGUUUCUGUUUUUAAAUCAAAUGCCUGUUUGGGAGGAGAUGAACGUAUUUAGUCUAUUAGAUUUGCGCUGCUGGAUUUUUUUUUUUAAAGUGUAACCUUGACUAGCUGUCUUAUUGUUUAUCCUGUAAGAUUAGUCUAUCGAUUAAAGUUUGAUAAUUAACUG